rfam:Schistosoma mattheei strain Denwood, Zambia genome assembly, scaffold: SMTD_scaffold0000955
AGCUUUACGAAUCCGUGCAGAAAUUUCGUCAGACACCAAUCCAUUAGCGCUGAUCAGGUUUCCAAGACAAGUGAAGUU